ACUCUUCUGUGUCCCACAGACCUCGGGAAGGGACUCUUCAGCUGCAGCGACCCAGGCCCUGGACUUGUCGCCAUCGGCAGGAUCUUCAGCCAGCUCCUCCGACAGGUCUGGAAUCAGGGAGGUUUGGUUUCGCUGGAAGAUGAACAGCUCCUCUUCCCCAUAGUCCGACUGUGGACAAAUGAGAGGGCUUUUGGAGGACAAGGCAGCAGGCAGAGCCCUGAGGGCCUAGCCACCCCCGCUCUCCACUCUCCACUCUCACUUCCAGCCCAGCCCGCCCAGCCCAUCCAGCCCGUCCAGCCCUGCUGCUCAGGAGCCUGGGGGAGAUCCGGUUCUCUCCCAGUCAGCCUUGCUGUGCGCGGCUUCUUGCCACCGUUUAGAAAUGGGCUUGGCAGCACAACCUCGUGGAGGGCACAGUAUUUCUUAGGGCAACAGAAUCGUCGGGAUGAAGAGGGCCUCCAGAGACUCUGAUAAACCCUUCAGGCGGACAAGACAAUAGGGGAGGGAACGGCAUUACCGGCAGAAGGAAGAGCAUGUACAGUAGCUCAAAGGAAUGAACCGCCCAACAGGUUUAAGGGAAGAAAGUGUCAGUUGCUGGACUCUCCGGUGAAAACGGACCAGACAAUGCAGGGCCCUGAACGCCAAGUUGAGGAGCUCAGAGCAUCCAGAAGGCGAAGGGGAGGCUCGGAGCCGCCUCUGAAUAACGGCCUUCCGGCUCCGUCUCGGGUGAUGUCCGAGCUCAGCGAUGAAGCCAGCGAGCCGGAACUCCUGAACCGCAGCUUGUCCAUGUGGCACGGGCUCGGGACACAGGUCAGCGGGGAGGAGCUGGAUGUCCCCCUGGAUCUUCACACAGCUGCUUCCAUUGGCCAGUAUGAAGUGGUGAAGGAGUGUGUGCAGCGGUAAGAGAUCUCGGGGAACUUCCUCUCACAUUUUGAGCAGCGCAGUGAUGGCUUCGAUCCCACGUGAUGGGGCUUUGCACACAGUUGUGGAUGUUUAAUGCGUGUAGAAUAGGUUAACCUGCUUAUCUCAGGCAGCUGUCAGUAAGUAUUGAUGCUGAGCCCUGACAAAGAGGCCGUUUUUAUUCCUAGGAAGAAAAAGAGGGAGUAAACUUUGAUCAGAAGCUUAUAAACAGUCAUUCUUUAACCAGACUAAUUUUAUUCACUAAUUGCAGAAAUGCCCAAACAAACAAGCAAAAUAAAAAUAAAGACAGAAAGUGA
rnacentral:lncRNA from 1 species